UUAGGAAUCUUCCACAAUGGGCGAAAGCCUGAUGGAGCGACGCCGCGUGAGGGAUGAAGGCCUUAGGGUUGUAAACCUCUAAAAGAGGGACGAUAAUGACGGUACCUCUUGAAUAGCACCGGCUAACUCCGUGCCAGCAGCCGCGGUAAUACGAGGGUGCAAGAGUUAUCCGGAAUCACUGGGCGUAAAGGGCGCGUAGGCGGUCUGUUAAGUCCGAUGUUAAAUCCCGGGGCUCAACCCCGGAUAAGCGUUGGAUACUGGCAGGCUAGACGGUUGGAGAGGCGAGUGGAAUUACCAGUGUAGCGGUGGAAUGCGUAGAUACUGGUAGGAACACCCAUUGCGAAGGCAGCUCGCUGGACAACACGUGACGCUGAUGCGCGAAAGCCAGGGGAGCAAACG
rnacentral:rRNA from 1 species